rnacentral:rRNA from 1 species
GACGUAGGGGGCUAGCGUUGUCCGGAAUCAUUGGGCGUAAAGCGCGUGUAGGCGGUCCGGUAAGUCCGCUGUGAAAGUCGAGGGCUCAACCCUCGAAUGCCGGUGGAUACUGUCGGGCUUGAGUACGGGAGAGGCGAGUGGAAUUCCCGGUGUAGCGGUGAAAUGCGCAGAUAUCAGGAAGAACACCCGUGGCGAAGGCGGUUCUCUGGGACGGUACUGACGCUGAGACGCGAAAGCGUGGGUAGCAAACGGG